rnacentral:rRNA from 1 species
UGGGGAAUUUUGCACAAUGGGGAAAACCCUGAUGCAGCGACGCCGCGUGAUUUAGAAGGCCUUCGGGUUGUAAAAAUCUUUUUUACGGGAUGAAAAUGACAGUACCGUAAGAAUAAGGUCCGGCUAAAUACGUGCCAGCAGCCGCGGUAAUACGUAUGGACCGAGCGUUGUCCGGAAUCAUUGGGCGGAAAGGGUACGUAGGCGGCCUAAUAAGUUAGAAGUGAAAGAAUAUAGCUCAACUAUAUAAAGCUUUUAAAACUGUUAGGCUUGGGUGAUGAAAGGGAAAGUGGAAUUCCUAGUGUAGCGGUGAAAUGCGCAGAUAUUAGGAAGAAUACCGGUGGCGAAGGCGACUUUCUGGUCAUCAUCUGACCCUGAGGUACGAAAGCGUGGGUAGCAAACAGG